AUACGGAGGGUGCAAGCGUUGUCCGGAAUCACUGGGUUUAAAGGGUGCGUAGGCGGCCAUAUUAGUCAGUAGUGAAAGGUUGCAGCUUAACUGUAAGACUGCUAUUGAAACUGUAUGGCUUGAAUUAGGAUGAGGUAGGCGGAAUGUGACAUGUAGCGGUGAAAUGCUUAGAUAUGUCAUAGAACACCGAUUGCGUAGGCAGCUUACUAGACCUAUAUUGACGCUGAGGCACGAAAGCGUGGGGAGCGAACAGGAUUAGAAACCCCGGUAGUCC
rnacentral:rRNA from 1 species